rnacentral:rRNA from 1 species
UGUCUCUCCUUACAUUUCCAGGUCUAUGUUUUCUUCAUAUACCCCAAUGUAUGUUAUAGAAUGUAAUUAAUGGGCCUUUGUGCCUAUAAACCUAUACAACUUUCAGCAACGGAUCUCUUGGCUCUCGCAUCGAUGAAGAACGCAGCGAAAUGCGAUAAGUAAUGUGAAUUGCAGAAUUCAGUGAAUCAUCGAAUCUUUGAACGCACCUUGCGCUCCUUGGUAUUCCGAGGAGCAUGCCUGUUUGAGUGUCAUUAAUAUAUCAACCUCUUUAGCUUUUGCUANUUGAGUGUUGGAUGUGGGGGNAUUUUGCUGGUCUCUUUUUAAAUGAGGUCAGCUCCCCUAAAAUGCAUUAGCGGAACAUUUGUUGACCGUUCAUUGGUGUGAUAACUAUCUACGCUAUUGACGUGAGGCAGUUCAGCUUCUAACAGUCCAUUGACUUGGACAAUUUUCAUUAAUGUGACCUCAAAUCAGGUAGGACUACCCGCUGAACUUAAGCAUAUCAAUAAGCGGAGGAAAAGAAACUAACAAGGAUUCCCCUAGUAACUGCGAGUGAAGCGGGAAAAGCUCAAAUUUAAAAUCUGUCAGUCU